rnacentral:rRNA from 1 species
UACAAGGGGGGCAAGCGUUGUUCGGAAUUACUGGGCGUAAAGGGCUCGUAGGCGGCCAACUAAGUCACACGUGAAAUCCCCAGGCUUAACCUGGGAACUGCGUGUGAUACUGGAUGGCUUGAAUUCGGGAGAGGGAUGCAGAAUUCCAGGUGUAGCGGUGAAAUGCGUAGAUAUCUGGAGGAAUACCGGUGGCGAAGGCGGCAUCCUGGACCGACAUUGACGCUGAGGAGCGAAAGCUAGGGGAGCAAACGGG